GACGAACGCUGGCGGCGUGCUUAACACAUGCAAGUCGAACGGAAAGGCCCUGCUUUUGUGGGGUGCUCGAGUGGCGAACGGGUGAGUAACACGUGAGUAACCUGCCCUUGACUUUGGGAUAACUUCAGGAAACUGGGGCUAAUACCGGAUAGGAGCUCCUGCUGCAUGGUGGGGGUUGGAAAGUUUCGGCGGUUGGGGAUGGACUCGCGGCUUAUCAGCUUGUUGGUGGGGUAGUGGCUUACCAAGGCUUUGACGGGUAGCCGGCCUGAGAGGGUGACCGGCCACAUUGGGACUGAGAGACGGCCCAGACUCCUACGGGAGGCAGCAGUGGGGAAUAUUGCACAAUGGGCGGAAGCCUGAUGCAGCAACGCCGCGUGCGGGAUGACGGCCUUCGGGGUGUAAACCGCUUUCGCCUGUGACGAAGCGUGAGUGACGGUAAUGAGUAAAGAAGCACCGGCUAACUACGUG
rnacentral:rRNA from 1 species